CCCGGCCGCCGCCGCUCAGCUCGUCCUGGAUGCGGGACUUCUGCGCGUAGAGCCGCUCCAGGUCCCGCCAGCGCCCGCCCUGGCCGCCGCCGCCGGAGGAGGAGGAGUUCAGCAGCCCGCUCAGGCUCUUGGGCAGCGGCGGCAGCCCCGCGCCGCCACCGGGACCCAGCAGCCCCGGCCCGCUCAUGCUGCGGCGGCGGCGACCGAGGGAAAGAGCCGCCUCGGCCCCGCUGCGGGAGGCGCCGCCCGGAGCCCGCCCCGCCUACGGGCCGGGGCGGAGGGAGGCGGGCGGGGAGGGGGCCCUGGGCGGCGGGGAGGCCGGGCCGCAGGUGCCCGGGGGAGCGGGGCGCGCUGAGGGGCUGGGCCCGGCGCCGCGCCGCCCACACGGCGGCUUUGUCCCAGGCGAGGCGCGCCGCGGUGGCCCGCGUCCCCUCGCUCGGGCAAGGCCCGGCUGCCUGCCGGCCUGCCUCCCGCCUCGGCCUGGGGGCUGCGGCCGGGGCCGGCGGGCCUGGGCUCCGCCGAGACACCCCCGCGACGCGGCUGCCGCCUGCCCGGGGGCGGGGAGAGGCGGGAGGCGGCUGCGGGGCCGGGGCUGAGCCUCAGGGCUCGGUCCUGGGGUGCCGCGGUGAGGUUGUGGGGAGGAUGUGCGUGUGUGGGUGAAAUGCAGAAAGCAGGCAUGGAAGCGGAUUAAAUGCUACAGGCGGCGGGUGCCCGGUUCUUCCGUGGCGAGGGUGGCGUUUCAGUCACCUGGUAACGGGAAGGUGCUUUCCCCAUCGAGGUGUUUCCCUUCCCAUCCUCGCAGCAGUGCUUUGUAUCAAAAGCCUUUCUCUCCAAGCGUUGCAACUAAACGUGCUUCAGUGUAUCUGCUCUGUGAAUCAAAUCUCUCAAUCACGGAAUCAUUAAGGUUGGAAAAAGCCUCUAAUACCGUCAGGUCCAACCAUCAAACCCAACACCACCAUGGGUCCCAAACCAUGCCUUAAAGUGCCACGUCUACAUGUUUUUUGAACACCCCCAGGGAUGGUGACCCCCCCACCUCUCUGGGCAGCCUGUGCCAGGGCCUGACCACUCCUGCAGUGAAGAAAUUUUCCCUAAUAUCCAAUCUAAACCUCCCCUGACGCAGCUGGAGGCCGUUUCCUCUCAUCCUAUCACUAGUAACUGAGAGAUGGCUCUCUGUUUUUAUUCCAGGUUUAUUCUCAGAGCGGUUUAUUGCUCUGGCUUACAGAAGUAGCCACCUGCUUUCGUGCAAGGGUGAUGGAAAGGGCGCCACGCUGCAGGGCAGGGUGGGUUUGGGCAGGGGUGAUGUGCCACGGGGUCCCUGAAACUGCCGGUAUGUCCAACUCUAAGUGUCUUUCUGCACCUUUUUUUUCCACCCCCUUUUCCCUUGAUAGUUUGUUUGUAUCUCUGGCGUCUCCUGAAUAAAUUACAGCCAUUUUGGAUCAUUCAAAAUCCAAACCGAAGCAGGUAUAAAAUUGGAGUUCUGGGAAUGGGCUGCCAUUGCAAAGCCAGCUUGUUUAAAGGUGCAGCUCUAUUGCCACAACCCUGCUUUGUUUGUGGGGUUCCUCUUCAAGAAAUAACCAGAUACAGUGACCUUGAGUUAAGCCUCUAUGUGAUUUUCAGUUUUGUUCCCAGACUCGCAUGGCUUUUUCAUGGUUUAAAUGUUAUCAGACUCUGUGACGAUAGUUUUAAAACUUCUUACAGUGAAGGAAGCUUUGCCAAUCUUUAUUCAUGUUUACACACUACUUUAGGCAUUGAUUUUUUCAGACGACCUGAUGUGCUUUUUAAUGCUUCGUACAUUGGAAUCAAGAAGACUUUUUUCCCCCCAUUUGUCAUGGUGCUACUUCUGUCCAGGUCAAUUGCAAAAAAUAAAACAGUGCUGAUAGCUUUUAUGGAACUAAAGGCAUGUAAAACCAUCCCUAUAUUAAAAGCGUCAAGAGUGCCUGAGAGCAAAAAUAUUGAUUCAGUUUGAUAAGGAUGUAGGCACUGUAUUAUCUUUGUGCUUACUAACAAAUAGAUUUAUUUGUUCUUCCAAACCAGCCCCCCCUGGUUUUUUUUCCAGAUGACAGCUAUUUGGAAAAGCUUAUGAAUAUUCUUAUUUUAUCUAGACCAGCUUAUCCUAAUUAUUUUUUUCAGCUUGCCUGAUCUCAUUAGAUGCAUUUUCUCCACACUCGGGUCCUUUAGGCACCUUGUUGCCAUACCUUUACUAUUGCAAAAACCAUUAUUCUGGCUUACUGCUUAACUUUGUCAUCCAAAAAGUAAAAAAAUUUACUUCCUGGGUUCUCGUGACCCUCCUCUCAGUUGAUAACCUUAUCUAGCCUUCAUUCAUAUUAAAUUCUUAACUGUCCUUUAAAAUCUAAAUCUCCUGCUUUAUUUAGUCUGACCUAGUUAUAACGUGGUGAUAAUGGAAGCCGGAGCCUUUUGCAGUUAUGUCUUUUGGUUACGGAGUAAGCUUUCGGUAGCUGUAUAAACCUCUCAGUUUUUGUUGAUUUCUAGAAUUGAACUACAGAAAUGCGUUACUCAUCUAAACAGGCCUUUGCUAAGGACAUUACCUAAAAAACCCCACAUUAAAAAUACAUGUAGUUUAUGUCAUAAAGAAUUAGGAAGUGCCAGAAGAGAGGUGUCCCAUACCAUUUCCUUAGGCAAAUGUGUUAUGGUAUAUUUUUAAUUUACAUGUUCAUAUGUGAUGUGUUUUCCUUUCUUCAUUCAUUAGGAGGAUGCAUAAUGCCUGUGUAUCACUUGUACGUCAUUUACUAACGUUCCUCUUUCCAAUGCGGUGAUCUAUGUGCGUUAUAGUGUAUCUUGAAUUGAUACAUUACGACUGUUUCCUACAGCCUUUUCUGUCAAGUUUUCCCCUCUAAUAACUGACUUACGUAUAAACGUUAACAAAUUCUUCUUUAUGACAACGCUGUGCUAGAAGGUGGCAUUGUUAUCCACACUGGAACCAGGACACGGGGAGCUAAAGGUAGGUCAUGGAAAAAACCAUCUACUAAUUUUAAGUGCCUGGUGUGUGAUUCCUAGAGUUGAUUUUCUGUCCGACAGAACUGACAGAAGGACGUCUGCUUCAAGCUGCCCUGCGCAGAGCAACACCUUUGCUUAAAGCCACCUUUAUUAGAGAUUUAAAGUAAGACAGCAGAUUUUGCAGUGAUGUGGCUAGCGUCACAUUCUGUCCGCUGUGCAGUAGGGGUAUCUUAAAACUCGCCAAACAAGGUGCAUCAGAGCCCAUCUGCCCGAGCCAUUGGCCUUUUUAAGACCCUGUUGUGUUUGCAAGAUGUCUCCCAUUGGGUUAACUUGCAGUUGGGAUUGCUUGUCAAGGACAGGUCAGGAUCCAGAUAUCACAAACUGGGCAUAUUCAAGACAAAUUAAUGAUUAGUGACACACGCUUUACUCUUCCAUUUGCUCCUGUAGUCAAGAGUGCCUGAACAUACUCUAUUUCUCACGAGGCCUAUGGUUUUCAUCACUGAUGUGGAGGAACAGAGAUCACGCUGUUCUGUGGUGCUCUGGGAGUGACGUGAAGUUCGGUCCUUUGGCUAAGGAGGAUUUAGAAGAUGCUGGUGUAGUUGGCACCUGAUAUGUGACGCCACGUCAUGGCAUAUCCAGAGAGAAAUUAGAUUUUCAGCUAAACUUCAUUCAAUUCUUAGGCAUCAUUUUUCAUCAGAGAAGUGGUUUUAAAUAAAAAUGGUUGAGCCCUAAUUUUGACGCUUUUUUUUCCAGGUGUAUUUCCAUAUCUAUGCCUAAAAGAUGAAAAGCCAAGUAUAUUCUAACACACAGAAUAUCACAGUGGCUUCCAGCUAGGUCCCCAGCAAAGCGCUAUCCUUAGAUCUAGAGCAGAGAGCCUCCUAUUUAAGCUACCUGAGUAAACACAAGAAAUAGUGGGCUGUUACCUUUUUGUAUAGAUACUGCAGAUACCCAAGAUACAGGUACCUAAGGAGGACAUCUCAGCCUUUGUCUGCGAGGCUCAAAACUGACUGCUAGAAACACAGAGUGACACUGAGCAGACCCUUUCCUUUAGUGACAUCUGCAUCGGGGUCAGAUCUGGAGGAUGCUGUCUAAGCUGGGCUGAGGUCGUCUGAGGAACAGCACAUUCAGCAGCCCAGUGACCCCUAAAUUCAACGCAGGGGCACUCGGUAAUUACUGACUCAGAGGCAGAUGUUCUACUCGCUGAACUAUGAUCGUUGCUUCCUGCAGCAUUUCAGCAUGAGGCGCCUGAAAUGCACCAUUUCAGUAUGUGCACCAGGAUGCAGCAGCAAGACUGAGCCUUACUUAGUGAGGGCAAUCAACUUUUAUAAUGGUAUAGGCAAAGGAAUAACGUUAAAAUACUGUCAGUAUUUAAAAAUAAAAUAUAUUCAUGCA